CUUGCCUACGGGAGGCAGCAGUGGGGAAUAUUGCACAAUGGGGGGAACCCUGAUGCAGCAAUGCCGCGUGGGUGAAGAAGCACUCCGGUGCGUAAAGCCCUGUCAGCAGGGAAGAAAAUGACAGUACCUGGACAAGAAGCCCCGGCUAACUACGUGCCAGCCGCCGCGGUCAUACGUAGGGGGCAAGCGUUAUCCGGAUUUACUGGGUGUAAAGGGAGCGCAGGCGGCGUGGCAAGUCAGAUGUGAACACACGGGGCCCAACCCCGGGAGCGCAUUUGAAACUGCCAUGCUGGAGUGCCGGAGCG
rnacentral:rRNA from 1 species